UACAGAGGUCUCAAGCGUUGUUCGGAUUCAUUGGGCGUAAAGGGUGCGUAGGUGGCGUGGUAAGUCGGGUGUGAAAUUUCGGAGCUUAACUCCGAAACUGCAUUCGAUACUGCCGUGCUUGAGGACUGGAGAGGAGACUGGAAUUUACGGUGUAGCAGUGAAAUGCGUAGAGAUCGUAAGGAAGACCAGUGGCGAAGGCGGGUCUCUGGACAGUUCCUGACACUGAGGCACGAAGGCCAGGGGGAGCAAACGGG
rnacentral:rRNA from 1 species